ACUACCCUCAACCAAGUUCCCUAUGUACAUAGGGGAUGCCGGUUGGAUCUGGCCGUUCGGUUUGCCUUUCAGGUUGCCGGUCAGCUGAAAUAUAUUCACGCUCUGGGAGCCGCUUUCCUUCCGAGGAGAGGCGAGUUCCGAUUUGGUAGGUGACCUUUGCCGGUUACAUGCCUUCGUUGCCCGCUAAGCUUCCCAGUAUGCGUUGUGCAGGACGCCUUUUGGC
rnacentral:misc_RNA from 1 species